rnacentral:rRNA from 1 species
AGAACGAACGCUGGCGGCAGGCCUAACACAUGCAAGUCGAGCGGAUGAGAGGAGCUUGCUCCUCGAUUCAGCGGCGGACGGGUGAGUAAUGCCUAGGAAUCUGCCUAGUAGUGGGGGACAACGUUUCGAAAGGAACGCUAAUACCGCAUACGUCCUACGGGAGAAAGUGGGGGAUCUUCGGACCUCACGCUAUUAGAUGAGCCUAGGUCGGAUUAGCUAGUUGGUAGGGUAAAGGCCUACCAAGGCGACGAUCCGUAACUGGUCUGAGAGGAUGAUCAGUCACACUGGAACUGAGACACGGUCC